ACCCUCCGGUUCCCUUUCCCAUCGGAUCUGAACACUGGUCUUGGUGGUCGUAAAAGGAGGAAAAAGAACACUGAACUAGCCUCCCAGUGCUUAUCGUCUGGUAUAUAGCUUGGAGGCUAGUUUCAAACAAGA
ensembl:snoRNA SNORA61 small nucleolar RNA, H/ACA box 61